GAUCAUGGCUCAGGAUGAACGCUAGCGGCAGGCUUAACACAUGCAAGUCGGAGGGGCAGCAUAAUGGUAGUAAUACUAUUGAUGGCGACCGGCGGACGGGUGCGUAACGCGUAUGCAACCUACCCUUUACAGGGGGAUAACACUGAGAAAUCGGUACUAAUACCCCAUAAUAUUCUGGGAGGCAUCUUUCGGAGUUGAAAGCUUUGGUGGUAAAGGAUGGGCAUGCGUUGUAUUAGCUAGUUGGUAAAGGG
rnacentral:rRNA from 1 species